AACGAACGCUGGCGGCAGGCCUAACACAUGCAAGUCGAGCGCCCCGCAAGGGGAGCGGCGGACGGGUGAGUAACGCGUGGGAACGUGCCCUUUGCUACGGAAUAGCCCCGGGAAACUGGGAGUAAUACCGUAUAAGCCCUGCGGGGGAAAGAUUUAUCGGCAAAGGAUCGGCCCGCGUUGGAUUAGGUAGUUGGUGGGGUAAUGGCCUACCAAGCCGACGAUCCAUAGCUGGUUUGAGAGGAUGAUCAGCCACACUGGGACUGAGACACGGCCCAGACUCCUACGGGAGGCAGCAGUGGGGAAUCUUAGACAAUGGGCGCAAGCCUGAUCUAGCCAUGCCGCGUGAGCGAUGAAGGCCUUAGGGUUGUAAAGCUCUUUCGUGGGGGAAGAUAAUGACUGUACCCCAAGAAGAAGCCCCGGCUAACUCCGUGCCAGCCGCCGCCGUAACAC
rnacentral:rRNA from 1 species